GAUGAACGCUGGCGGCGUGCUUAACACAUGCAAGUCGAACGGUGAACACGGAGCUUGCUCUGUGGGAUCAGUGGCGAACGGGUGAGUAACACGUGAGCAACCUGCCCCUGACUCUGGGAUAAGCGCUGGAAACGGCGUCUAAUACUGGAUAUGUGACGUGAUCGCAUGGUCUGCGUCUGGAAAGAAUUUCGGUUGGGGAUGGGCUCGCGGCCUAUCAGCUUGUUGGUGAGGUAAUGGCUCACCAAGGCGUCGACGGGUAGCCGGCCUGAGAGGGUGACCGGCCACACUGGGACUGAGAAAAGGGCCAGACUCCUACGGGAGGCAGCAGUGGGGAAUAUUGCAACAUGGGCGGAAGCCUGAUGCAGCAACGCCGCGUGAGGGAUGACGGCCUUCGGGUUGUAAACCUCUUUUAGCAGGGAAGAAGCGAAAGUGACGGUACCUGCAGAAAAAGCGCCGGCUAACUACGUG
rnacentral:rRNA from 1 species